AGUGAACGUUGGCGGCGUGGAUUAGGCAUGCAAGUCGAGCGAGAGCCGUAGCAAUACGGGGACAGCGGCGAAAGGGACAGUAAUGUGUAGGUACCUACCCCGAGGUCUGGGAUAGCUGCGGGAAACUGCGGGUAAUACCGAAUAAUGUCUCCGGACCAAAGGUGUGAUUCCACCUGGGGAGGGGCCUGCAUCCUAUUAGCUUGUUGGUGGGGUAACGGCCUACCAAGGCGACGAUGGGUAGCGGGUGAGAGAGCAUGACCCGCGUCAUUGGGACUGAGACACUGCCCAGACACCUACGGGUGGCUGCAGUCGAGAAUCUUCGGCAAUGGGCGCAAGCCUGGCCGAGCGACGCCGCGUGCGGGAUGAAGGCCUUCGGGUUGUAAACCGCUGUCGUAGAGGAGGAAAUGCAGGGGGGUUCUCCCCUUUGCUUGACCUAUUCUAGGAGGAAGUACGGGCUAAGUUCGUGCCAGCCGCCGCCGUAA
rnacentral:rRNA from 1 species